GCGGGUGUAGCUCAGUUGGUAGAGCGUCAGCUUCCCAAGCUGAAGAUCGUGAGUUCGAGACUCAUUACCCGCU
rnacentral:tRNA from 1 species